AUCUUUAUAGCCAUUUCAUCAUUAGGGGUUUUCUUUGAGGAUAUCGGAGAGAACACAAGCUCUUCUUUCUCUCUAAGAGGUCAGCCACCCUAGAGGAAAAUAGCUAGCAAUCUUUCUUCCUCUAGGUCACUCAUCUCUUCCUCAAUGCUCUCCUUGGUGUGGAGACUUAGAGGUUCCCUAUUUUGGGAACUUGGAGAAUCCAUUCCUUCAUCCAUCCAAGAAGUCAUGGAGCCAAGAAGCAAAGUUCCUCCAUCCACAUCCAUGGAGUCAAGGAGCAAGGAGACUAAGGAAAGAAGGCCCUCAAAUGGGUGAAUAUCCUUUGCUAAGCAAAGAGGUGCUUCAAAGGUAUAAAAGUUUCCCAACUCUUUUCUUUAAGAUUUGAGUUGAGUAUUGGUUCACCACAAUUACUAGGCCUUGAAUUUCAUGGGUAAAGUUUUGUUUUUGAGUGCAUACAAGCAUGAUUCCGCCUUUUAAUUGUUAAUUGUAUGCAUAGAUGUUACUCAAAUGAACUAGUUUUCCCAAAUAUUUCCUUCAAGUGGUAUCAGAGCCUAGGUUUAGUAGUUGGUGAAUCCUUUUGGGUUUUGUAGCUCAUAGUCUUUGAUUUGAAUGUUGUAAUUGUUACAAGCUUUAUUCUUACCUCUUUGAAUGUAAAUUUUGCUUGAAAAUUUAUCAUCUCAAUUGUUGUAGAUGUAGUUCAUAUGAGCAUGAAUUUUGGAGUUGGAGCUAAAAGUUGGUGCCAUGUUUAUGGGGAAAUUCGGCCAUAUCAAAAUGG
rnacentral:lncRNA from 1 species